rnacentral:lncRNA from 1 species
CUCUCUCCCCCCUCUCUCUCUCUCUCCCCCCUCUCUCUCUCCUCUCCAUGGCAUCAGUGGGAGGGAAUCAGUUGCUCAGCAGGAAUGUGGUUAUUUGUGGUUGAGUUUUACUACCAUCUCAUUUAGUGGUGUUUAAUGUUGACGUGUGGAGUGACUGUAGAUCACUGAGAGGCCUAGCUAUGCGUGGGAGGUGUGUGUGUGUGUGUGUGUGUGUGUGUGUGUGUGUGUGUGUGUGUGUUACUGUGCCAGUGCGAGGUGCGAGCGCAGCGUAAUCCAGUCCCCCUAAUGACCAUACACAGCAGCCGUACUGCCAGUGAACUAACCCAGAAACCAGAUAAAGCUUUUCAUUUUGAAACGCUACAUCACAGUAAUUAAAUGUCCAGUUAUCAGUACAGUCAAGAUACAGCACUUUUCCCCUUCACACAGUGUAGAGAAGUACAGUUCAGGACUCUACGUUCAGUCUCUAGACAAGACAACAUGGCGAAUGAGACAGUCAGGUUUCCAAUCGAGUUCUGUGGGCCUUGGAAUGAGGCAGAGAGAGGCAGAGAGGCAGAAGGAGGCAGAGAGAGGCAGAGAGAGGCAGAGAGAGGCAGAGGGAGGCAGAGGGAGGCAGAAGGAGGCAGAAGGAGGCAGAAAGAGGCAGAAGGAGGCAGAAGGAGGCAGAAGGAGGCAGAGAGAGGCAGAGAGAGGCAGACUGAGGCAGAGAGAGGCAGAGGGAGGCAGAGAGGCAGAGGGAGGCAGAGAGGCAGAGGGAGGCAGAGAGGCAGAGGGAGGCAGAAGGAGGCAGAGAGAGGCAGAGAGAGGCAGAAGGAGGCAGAGAGAGGCAGAGAGGCAGAGGGAGGCAGAGGGAGGCAGAGAGAGGCAGAAGGAGGCAGAAGGAGGCAGAGAGAGGCAGAGAGAGGCAGAGGGAGGCAGAGAGGUUAUUCUGUAGUGACUAUUCUGUAGUGACUAUACUGUAGUG